UAUUCCCCUUUAAGCCUGGCUGAAGAAGCAAAACCAAACGGCGGCUCCAGGGCGAGGCAGGGCGAGGAGAAGGCCAAGCGCAGGCAGGCAUGUCUCUUCUCUCUUCUCUUCGCUCCCUCCCUGCUUUGCGGAAGGCUUCUACUGAGCCGGUGUGGUCCCCGCGGGGGGGGGGGCGGCGUCUCAAUGGCAUUUUUAAAAUGCUAGCAGAUCGAUGGCCAUGCCUCUCCCUCCCUCCCUCUUCCGCUCUGAUUGGCUGAGAGGCAUGCCAACAUGGCUUCUCCUCUCAGAGGGGCUACAGCUACAUCCGAAGACAUCAGAAACAAACGAAAAAAGCUACUCUACCAGUAACGACAUGCAGUGUGGAAAGAUCGUUUUCAACCAUGAAGAGAGUGAAAAGUGUAUCUAA
rnacentral:lncRNA from 1 species